AUUCAUUUAUAUAAUUAUGUAUGUACAUCUGUAUGUUUGUUAUAAUCAUUCAAUCGCCAAAAAAUAAAUAAACGUUCUAACUUCUUUCACGUUCAGCUCUCCGGGAAUUUUACGCUGUAAACUCGCGCGAUUUCGCGAAUACAGAAACCGAAGUUUUACUUAAUCAUUUGCAGCUCAGAUUCCAUACUAUCGAACUGGAAUACUGUCACAUUUGCAUAACUGUGCACGGUCCCUGCCGGCGUAUUAUCUCAAAUCCACUCAUUUAAAAGUGCCCUUUCGAUUAAGGUGGCUGAAAAGCCUAAGGAGACUUUACCAAAAUGGAAAAAAUAUGUCACAAUUUCUCAUCAUUUUCUAAUUUAAUGAAGAGCUGAACCAUCCUAAUGCUAUGCAACGUAUGUAUGUUAGUUUGUAAAAUGUAAAUACCUAUUUAUGUAUGUUUUUCAAAAGGCAAAUCACAAUCUUGUGUUGAAUUCACAAUGCAAUUUCAUUAUAAUUAAGCAUGAAAUUUAAUAUAUGUACGUAUGUAUGUAUAUGCAUUCAACUUUUUUCUAUUAAUUUUAUACACAAUUUAGAGCUUUUAAUAUUAUUUUAUUUGAUUAUUUUAAUAAAUUAUUAUUUUUUCUUCAUUAAAAUUCGUGCAAAAAUCUUGCUUUCAAACACAAAGUGCUGCAGGUGCUUGUAGGUACAGGUCGAAUUUGGCAUUUCCAUAAGAAGUUUGUAUUGUAUUUCGGGAAUUGGGUUUAGGAAAAAUUUUACUGAAUGCUUUCUCACUGUUACGAACACUAACUGUGGCUGAAAUCGGCUUUUAGAAAAUUUCCUUUAGAAUUUUUAAGCAGCUGUGUUGGCUGCGCGUUUCAGUAUAUCAAUAUACCACAACUUUUCUUCUUGUUUGUAUUUAUAUAGCAGAUUUAAUUUUUUAUUUGUAUAUUUUAAAUGUGAUAAGCAUCUUAACUUUGGCCAUUAUUUGUAUGAGUAACUAUUAUAAUGUAUGUACAUACAUAUGUAUGUAUGUAAGUAGUUUUACAAAAAAUAUAUAUUAUAUGUAUGUAUAUAUCCCUUCCUAAACAUUUCCUCUCAACAAUGUACAUAUGCGUGUACUUAAAAAA